rnacentral:misc_RNA from 1 species
CUCUCCUUCAGCAACUUCAGCUCCUCCUUUGUUUGCUCAAGCUCAGCUUCGAGUUUCUUUAAAGUAUCCAAGAACUCAUUAUUAUUCUUUUAACGGUCAUCUUCUAUUUUAGGGUUUACAGGACUUAUUGGAGAUGGAAAUAUUUAUGACAGGUCAUGAUAAUGACUAGGAAGAGGAGUGUAAUAAGGCUUAGGAGAAUAUAUUUCUCCGACGAGAAUCCGCUGGCCGAAGAUGGCUAAGGCUUCUUUGACGGAGCGAAAAAGGCGAGAAGUAUCAACUGAGGAGCUAUAAUCUUGGGUAUGUUUUGGAGAAGGAGUUGGG